rnacentral:rRNA from 1 species
GAUGAACGCUGGCGGCGUGUCUAAUACAUGCAAGUCGAGCGAACAGACGAGGAGCUUGCUCCUCUGACGUUAGCGGCGGACGGGUGAGUAACACGUGGAUAACCUACCUAUAAGACUGGGAUAACUUCGGGAAACCGGAGCUAAUACCGGAUAAUAUAUUAAACCGCAUGGUUCAAUAGUGAAAGACGGUUUUGCUGUCACUUAUAGAUGGAUCCGCGCCGCAUUAGCUAGUUGGUAAGGUAACGGCUUACCAAGGCAACGAUGCGUAGCCGACCUGAGAGGGUGAUCGGCCACACUGGAACUGAGACACGGUCCAGACUCCUACGGGAGGCAGCAGUAGGGAAUCUUCCGCAAUGGGCGAAAGCCUGACGGAGCAACGCCGCGUGAGUGAUGAAGGUCUUCGGAUCGUAAAACUCUGUUAUUAGGGAAGAACAAAUGUGUAAGUAACUAUGCACGUCUUGACGGUACCUAAUCAGAAAGCCACGGCUAACUACGUG